AGUGAACGCUGGCGGUAGGCCUAACACAUGCAAGUCGAACGGCAGCACAGUAAGAGCUUGCUCUUACGGGUGGCGAGUGGCGGACGGGUGAGGAAUACAUCGGAAUCUACUUUUUCGUGGGGGAUAACGUAGGGAAACUUACGCUAAUACCGCAUACGACCUACGGGUGAAAGCAGGGGAUCUUCGGACCUUGCGCGAUUGAAUGAGCCGAUGUCGGAUUAGCUAGUUGGCGGGGUAAAGGCCCACCAAGGCGACGAUCUGUAGCUGGUCUGAGAGGAUGAUCAGCCACACUGGAACUGAGACACGGUCCAGACUCCUACGGGAGGCAGCAGUGGGGAAUAUUGGACAAUGGGCGCAAGCCUGAUCCAGCCAUACCGCGUGGGUGAAGAAGGCCUUCGGGUUGUAAAACCCUUUUGUUGGGAAAGAAAAGCAGCAGGUUAAUACCCCGCUGUUCUGACGGUACCCAAAGAAUAAGCACCGGCUAACUUCGUG
rnacentral:rRNA from 1 species